GACGAACGCUGGCGGCGUGCUUAACACAUGCAAGUCGAACGGUAAGGCCCUUCGGGGUACACGAGUGGCGAACGGGUGAGUAACACGUGGGUGAUCUGCCCUGCACUUCGGGAUAAGCCUGGGAAACUGGGUCUAAUACCGGAUAGGACUCCUGCCUGCAUGGGUGGGGGUGGAAAGCUUUUGUGGCGUGGGAUGGGCCCGCGGCCUAUCAGCUUGUUGGUGGGGUGAUGGCCUACCAAGGCGACGACGGGUAGCCGGCCUGAGAGGGUGACCGGCCAGACUGGGACUGAGAUACGGCCCAGACUCCUGCGGGAGGCAGCAGUGGGGAAUAUUGCACAAUGGGCGCAAGCCUGAUGCAGCGACGCCGCGUGAGGGAUGACGGCCUUCGGGUUGUAAACCUCUUUCAGCACAGACGAAGCGCAAGUGACGGUAUGUGCAGAAGAAGGACCGGCCAACUACGUGCCAGCCGCCGCCGUAA
rnacentral:rRNA from 1 species